rnacentral:rRNA from 1 species
AGAGUUUGAUCCUGGCUCAGGACGAACGCUGGCGGCGCGCCUAACACAUGCAAGUCGAACGAGCGAGAGAGAGCUUGCUUUCUUGAGCGAGUGGCGAACGGGUGAGUAACGCGUGAGGAACCUGCCUCAAAGAGGGGGACAACAGUUGGAAACGACUGCUAAUACCGCAUAAGCCCACGGCUCGGCAUCGAGCAGAGGGAAAAGGAGCAAUCCGCUUUGAGAUGGCCUCGCGUCCGAUUAGCUAGUUGGUGAGGUAAUGGCCCACCAAGGCGACGAUCGGUAGCCGGACUGAGAGGUUGAACGGCCACAUUGGGACUGAGACACGGCCCAGACUCCUACGGGAGGCAGCAGUGGGGAAUAUUGCACAAUGGGGGAAACCCUGAUGCAACGACGCCGCGUGGAGGAAGAAGGUCUUCGGAUUGUAAACUCCUGUUGUUGAGGAAGAUAAUGACGGUACUCAACAAGGAAGUGACGGCUAACUACGUGCCAGCAGCCGCGGUAAAACGUAGGUCACAAGCGUUGUCCGGAAUUACUGGGUGUAAAGGGAGCGCAGGCGGGAAGACAAGUUGGAAGUGAAAUCCAUGGGCUCAACCCAUGAACUGCUUUCAAAACUGUUUUUCUUGAGUAGUGCAGAGGUAGGCGGAAUUCCCGGUGUAGCGGUGGAAUGCGUAGAUAUCGGGAGGAACACCAGUGGCGAAGGCGGCCUACUGGGCACCAACUGACGCUGAGGCUCGAAAGUGUGGGUAGCAAACAGGAUUAGAUACCCUGGUAGUCCACACCGUAAACGAUGAUUACUAGGUGUUGGAGGAUUGACCCCUUCAGUGCCGCAGUUAACACAAUAAGUAAUCCACCUGGGGAGUACGACCGCAAGGUUGAAACUCAAAGGAAUUGACGGAAGGGCG